rnacentral:sRNA from 1 species
AUGUACCACGCCUGCACUCCGGUUCCUCCGCACCCACCUGACGACUGCUCGCUACGCUUUGUUAGCC